CCUACGGGAGGCAGCAGUAGGGAAUAUUGCUCAAUGGGGGAAACCCUGAAGCAGCAACGCCGCGUGGAGGAUGAAGGUUUUCGGAUUGUAAACUCCUUUUGUUAGAGAAGAUAAUGACGGUAUCUAACGAAUAAGCAACGGCUAACUCCGUGCCAGCAGCCGCGGUAAUACGGAGGGUGCAAGCGUUACUCGGAAGCACUGGGCGUAAAGAGCGCGUAGGCGGGAUAGCAAGUCAGAUGUGAAAUCCUAGGGCUUAACCAUAGAACUGCAUGUGAAACUGUUAUUCUAGAGUAUGGGAGAGGUAGGUGGAAUUCUUGGUGUAGGGGUAAAAUCCGUAGAGAUCAAGAGGAAUACUCAUUGCGAAGGCGACCUGCUAGAACAUAACUGACGCUGAUGCGCGAAAGCGUGGGGAGCAAACAGGAUUAGAUACCCGGGUAGUC
rnacentral:rRNA from 1 species